rnacentral:rRNA from 1 species
ACAUGCAAGUCGAACGAAAAUACCAAGCUUGCUUGGUUGAUUAGUGGCGAACGGGUGAGUAACACGUGAGUAACCUGCCCCUUACUUUCCUGGAUAACUGCUCGAAAGGGUAGCUAAUACGGGAUAUUCUGACCAUCCUGCAUGGGUUGGUUUGGAAAGGUUGUUUUUUCUGGUAAGGGAUGGGCUCGCGGCCUAUCAGCUUGUUGGUGGGGUGAUGGCCUACCAAGGCUUUGACGGGUAGCCGGCCUGAGAGGGUGGACGGUCACACUGGGACUGAGAUACGGCCCAGACUCCUACGGGAGGCAGCAGUGGGGAAUAUUGCACAAUGGGCGCAAGCCUGAUGCAGCGACGCCGCGUGAGGGAUGAAGGCCUUCAGGUUGUAAACCUCUUUCGUCAGGGAACAAGGCACUGCUUUGGUGGUGUUGAGGGUACCUGGAUAAGAAGCGCCGGCUAACUACGUGCCAGCAGCCGCGGUAAUACGUAGGGCGCAAGCGUUGUCCGGAAUUAUUGGGCGUAAAGAGCUCGUAGGCGGCUGGUCGCGUCUGUCGUGAAAACUUCCGGCUCAACCGGGGGCUUGCGGUGGGUACGGGCCGGCUAGAGUGCGGUAGGGGUAACUGGAACUCCUGGUGUAGCGGUGGAAUGCGCAGAUAUCAGGAAGAACACCGAUGGCGAAGGCAGGUUACUGGGCCGUUACUGACGCUGAGGAGCGAAAGCGUGGGGAGCGAACAGGAUUAGAUACCCUGGUAGUCCACGCUGUAAACGUUGGGCACUAGGUGUGAGGCUCCUUUCCGGNGGGUUUUGCGCCGUAGCUAACGCAUUAAGUGCCCCGCCUGGGGAGUACGGCCGCCAAGGCU